CGGAGGGUGCAAGCGUUAUCCGGAUUUACUGGGUUUAAAGGGUGCGUAGGUGGGUAGGUAAGUCAGUGGUGAAAUCUUCAAGCUUAACUUGGAAACUGCCAUUGAUACUAUUUAUCUUGAAUCAUCUGGAGGUAAGCGGAAUAUGUCAUGUAGCGGUGAAAUGCUUAGAUAUGACAUAGAACACCCAUUGCGAAGGCAGCUUACUACGGAUGUAUUGACACUGAGGCACGAAAGCGUGGGGAUCAAACAGGAUU
rnacentral:rRNA from 1 species